rnacentral:rRNA from 1 species
UGUUAUCCAUUAGACCUAUUUGAUGAGGGUUUCGUUACUGGCAUGUUUACUUCCAUUAUUGGUAAGGUAUUUGGUUUCAAAGCCCUACGUGCUCUAUGUUUGGAGGAUCUACAAAUUCCUCCUACUUAUUCAAAAACUUUCCAAGGCCCGCCUCAUGGUAUCCAAGUUGAAAGAGAUAAAUUGAACAAGUAUGGUCAUCCUUUAUUAGGAUGUAUCUAG